rnacentral:rRNA from 1 species
AUGCACGCUGGCGGCGUGCCUAAUACAUGCAAGUCGAGCGAACAGACGAGGAGCUUGCUCCUCUGACGUUAGCGGCGGACGGGUGAGUAACACGUGGAUAACCUACCUAUAAGACUGGGAUAACUUCGGGAAACCGGAGCUAAUACCGGAUAAUAUAUUGAACCGCAUGGUUCAAUAGUGAAAGACGGUUUUGCUGUCACUUAUAGAUGGAUCCGCGCCGCAUUAGCUAGUUGGUAAGGUAACGGCUUACCAAGGCAACGAUGCGUAGCCGACCUGAGAGGGUGAUCGGCCACACUGGAACUGAGACACGGUCCAGACUCCUACGGGAGGCAGCAGUAGGGAAUCUUCCGCAAUGGGCGAAAGCCUGACAGAGCAACGCCGCGUGAGUGAUGAAGGUCUUCGGAUCGUAAAACUCUGUUAUUAGGGAAGAACAAAUGUGUAAGUAACUAUGCACGUCUUGACGGUACCUAAUCAGAAAGCCACGGCUAACUACGUG